rnacentral:misc_RNA from 1 species
GAAAAAUCAUCUCUAUUUUCCCUCAUCAGCAGUGUAAAGAAAUUGUUGAACCCUUAAAGUAGGGACAAUUAAUCUUUACAAAAAGUUAGUUAAUAACUGUGCUUAUCAGUAGCAAUAGCGGUGUCUUGAAAGAUCCUACACACUGAGACUGAGAGGAUGCAUGAACGACUCUGUUGGCAAAAAUUCAUACCAUUUUUUUUUUAAUGAGCUUUU